rnacentral:snRNA from 8 species
GGGACUACAUAUUAAAUGGAUUUUUCGAACAGGGAGUUGGAAAUGGGGCUUGAUCCGUCCGCUCCACGCAUCGACCCGGUAUUGCAGUACCUCCGGGAACGGUGCAAAACUU